rnacentral:rRNA from 1 species
ACUCCUACGGGAGGCAGCAGUGGGGAAUAUUGCACAAUGGGCGCAAGCCUGAUGCAGCCAUGCCGCGUGUAUGAAGAAGGCCUUCGGGUUGUAAAGUACUUUCAGCAGUGAGGAAGGUGGAUAUGUUAAUAGCAUAUUCAUUUGACGUUAGCUGCAGAAGAAGCACCGGCUAACUCCGUGCCAGCAGCCGCGGUAAUACGGAGGGUGCGAGCGUUAAUCGGAAUUACUGGGCGUAAAGCGCAUGCAGGUGGUUGUUAAGUCAGAUGUGAAAGCCCGGGGCUCAACCUCGGAAUUGCAUUUGAAACUGGCAAACUAGAGUACUGUANAGGGGGGUAGAAUUUCAGGUGUAGCGGUGAAAUGCGUAGAGAUCUGAAGGAUACCGGUGGCGAAGGCGGCCCCCUGGACAGAUACUGACACUCAGAUGCGAAAGCGUGGGGAGCAAACAGGAUUAGAUACCCUGGUAGGCUCU